GGAGCCUCGUGCUGGUUGCGGAAAGCUAAGCCCACACCCGUCGUCUUCCACCUGGGGUUGCUGCCAAUCCAACAGGACACGGCUCACCGCGUUGGACAGGGAAGCUUCCUACCCAGUCACGUAGAAGAAUAUUAAACGUUUUCAUAAUGUGUCCACACAUGUUUUGCUUCUCCAAGAGAUGACAGCUCAGAUUUCAGAAACCGUGGUGACCUUAUUUUGUGACUUUGUGUUCUCUUUGCUGAGCCGAUGACCCACUUGCAAAGCAAAGGUGCAAAUUGCAAGUGAACAUCCCCAACAGCGGUUCCUUUUCUGUUUUUCACUCUGCUGGAAAUCUGUUGAAAUAAAGAGUGUCAACACAGCACCUCUCAGUGCGGGCUAACUGGAUUGAACUGGACAGCGUUCUAUUCAUUGGAAAUCAUUAGGCAAUUCAAGAGGGAAGAAAACGGAAAAGAAAAGAAAAACAUCGCCCCAUCACAAAAAUAACUUGAGAAUUGUGCAGUCUGCCAGCAUAUUGGAUAUUUGUGUUGAACUUGCUUUCAGUACUCGGCUAAAUUUACCACACCCUACCUCCAAAGCCCUUGCUCCCUUCCUUUUGAAUAGCAAAGUAAUGAGAACUAGAAAAGCUUUUGUGUCUUUGGCAAAGUUGAAGGUAACUGUUUCCACUAAAUCCUGCAAAGGUGAGGAUGCGAGAGGGAAAUCCACCAAUUCAUUUCGCUUUUGUUACCUGUUCAUGAAAAGCUACCUUCUGGGGGUGAGACCAUGUUUGAUACGAGAUGCUGCCUGAACUCAGUAUAUUUGGCUGACAAUAUAAUUUUAGUGAACAGAUUAUCAAAUUGCUCAAAUGCAUAUGGAACUACCAUGGACCUUCACGCCGUAAGAACGGUUUCCCAAAGCAAAUAAUUUUGCUGUUGUUGUUUUGGUUUGGUUUGAUUUUUUUGCAGAUGGAGCCACCUGGUCUCAAGUUUCCUCCUGAGAAAACUCGCUUCCCCAUUGAACACAAUGCGCAGGUGUUCCAGGGAACUUCAGUGUGGGAGACUUUUACUGACGGUCCGCUAGCUGUCACACACUUUUCUUGCAUCUUCAUGUCGUGUUGCACACAGCUCUGUCCGGCUGACAUCAACUUGGCUCCGCUGGGAAGAAGUCACUGCACAGGGAAGGGAGGGGCUGGCCAGGCUGCCCAGCUGGUAAGU
rnacentral:lncRNA from 1 species